rnacentral:rRNA from 1 species
AUGAUCUGGCAUGUACAGAAUGAAAACUUCAUUCUCGAUUCUACGAGAAUUUUUAUGAAAGCGUUUCAUUUGCUUCUCUUCAAUGGAAGUUUCAUUUUCCCAAAAUGUAUCCUAAUUUUUGGCCUAAUUCUUCUUCUGAUGAUCGAUUCAACCUCUGAUCAAAAAGAUAGACAUGACACUUGUCUCGCAUUGCAUUACUGA